ensembl:snRNA U6 U6 spliceosomal RNA
GUGAUCACUUGGGCAGCACAUAUACUAAAGUUGGAACAAUACUGAGAAGCUUAGCAUGGCCCCUGCACAAGGAUGACACCCAGUUUUCCAGCAGCUUGGCAGUCACAC